GUACGUCCAGUACCCCAGACAGCGCCUCCAGUUACUCCUGAAACACACCUCAAGAGAGAGCAUCCAGGGUUUCACUGCUGAGCUCAGCCGGGCUGAGGCAUCCUUCCAUCUGAAAAAACCCUCGACUCAGGAGGAAGACUCAGCUGUGUAUUACUGUGCUCUGGGUAACACAGUACUUGGCUUCACAAGAGAAGCAGAGCGCAAACCCCUUACAGAAAGCAUUUCCAUGUUCCCUAUUUGACCACCGUGGGGCGCUGUCUCUCUAGAGACUGACACUGAAUUUACCUCUCAGUGGUGACUCAGGCUUCACUGGGGAGUGUGUGACUGUAGCCUGCUGGAUGGGGAAGUUUGCCGAGGUGCCAGAGAACACGACUAACAAGCAGAAGAACAGCUCCCAGGGUUCUAGAACAGUUUGUAGGAAGCUGGCAAAGGAGCACUGCUGAACUUGCUCGGGUGCCUGUGAAACUUGCCAAGAAAGCACCCGGGGACUGUCACUAAACGUUGCUGGACGUGAGCGUCACAGGUGCCCCAAAGGACGGCCAAGCACCCCGGAACAAGAAGUGCGGAGCACAUUCCGGGACCCGGAAGAGAAGCUGCCUCUUCCUGCCGGGUCCUUUCCAUCCUCUCUACCGACAAAGCUUAACAUCGCGCCAGCUGGCAAGGAGAAAUGUUUACAAGGCGCAUGUCGAGAAUUACCCUCUGAAUCUACGAAGGGAGAACUUGUAGUUCAAAGGCAAUAAGCUGAUAACUGGCACAUCUUUCAUACACACUCCUCCACACACAGUUGAACUUUCAAGCAAUGGUGAAAUGACUCUGUUUCCAUCUCACAAGCUAAGUCUGUCCUUUGAACAAGUGAAGAAGUUCUCAUCCUUUCUCUCAAAUGAGGAGACCUGUGGUCCCAACAGUCACUACGGAUCACUGGCUGUAUUAAUUACUUCUAAAAUUCAGAGGGAAUUCCACUGAAAAUUCUGUUAUACACAGACUAAAUUCUAAAGUUAAUCUCUCUCAAGUGGUAUAUAGAAUGAUGUGAGGAGAAGGAAGCAGGAAAUAGGAGUGUAGGCAGAGGAACACAUGAAAGUAAAGAGCAAGAAGAAAAUGUAGAAAACUAUUACAUUCUUUGGUUCCUGAUUUGGUGGUGAUGCUGCAGUUGAUAUAGAUGACAUUUUUUCUUAUUACAC
ensembl:lncRNA